rnacentral:rRNA from 1 species
UACGUAGGGGGCAAGCGUUGUCCGGAUUUACUGGGCGUAAAGCGCACGUAGGCGGUUUGUUAAGUCAGGGGUGAAAUCCCACAGCUCAACUGUGGAACUGCCUUUGAUACUGGCAAGCUAGAGUCCGGAAGAGGUAAGUGGAACUCCUAGUGUAGAGGUGGAAUUCGUAGAUAUUAGGAAGAACACCAGUGGCGAAGGCGGCUUACUGGUCCGGAACUGACGCUGAGGUGCGAAAGCGUGGGGAGCAAACAGG